UGCUUUAUGUAUUUUUAUUCAGGUGUUUUCCUCUCAUGUGAUCGAACGUCAGUGGUAUGCAGUUGGACGAUACUAUAUACGGAUAGAGAAUGGUCGGCUUCAUUUUAUUCUUAGAAGUGCAUUCCGCGUUUUCCAAGCGCCUCAAGGGUAUAGAGGUUCUUUAGUGAACCCAUUGCGCCCAACUACUACAACAGGCCGACCAUACACAUACUCCGAGGCUGACAUAGAAUCACCAUCGUACUUUUUAUCUCAAGUGAACUUUUGGUUUUGAUGGUACUUCCCCCAGUGACCAAGAGAAACAAUCAACCAAAAAAAAAUUUAACACAGUAUUUUGU